rnacentral:tRNA from 1 species
GUUAAUGUAGCUUAACCAAAAGCAUGGCACUGAAGAUGCCAAGAUGGGCCGUGAAAAGCCCCAAUGACA